UACGGAGGGGGCUAGCGUGGUUCGGAAUUACUGGGCGUAAAGCGCACGUAGGCGGCUUUGCAAGUCAGAGGUGAAAGCCCGGGGCUCAACCCCGGAAUUGCCUUUGAGACUGCAUCGCUAGAAUUGUGGAGAGGUAAGUGGAAUUCCGAGUGUAGAGGUGAAAUUCGUAGAUAUUCGGAAGAACACCAGUGGCGAAGGCGACUUACUGGACACAUAUUGACGCUGAGGUGCGAAAGCGUGGGGAGCAAACAGG
rnacentral:rRNA from 1 species